GACGAACGCUGGCGGCGUGCUUAACACAUGCAAGUCGAACGAAGUGGCGAACGGGUGAGUAACGCGUAAUCAACCUGCCCUUCAGAGGGGGACAACAGUUGGAAACGACUGCUAAUACCGCAUACUGUAGGAGGGGAGUGCGUCUGAUUAGCUAGUUGGAGGGGUAACGGCCCACCAAGGCGAUGAUCAGUAGCCGGUCGUAGAGGGUGAACGGCCAAAUUGGGACUUGGGCACGGCCCAGACUCCUAAGGGAGGCAGCAGUGGGGAAUCUUCCGCAAUGGAAGGAAGUCUGACGGGGCAACUCCGCGGGGGUGGUGAAGGCCUUCGGGUUGUAAAGCUCUGUUAGUCGGGGCGCGGUACCUGAAUAGAAAGCCACGGCUAACUACGUGCCAGCAGCCGCGGUAAUUC
rnacentral:rRNA from 1 species